rnacentral:rRNA from 1 species
GAUGAACGCUGGCGGCGUGCCUAAUACAUGCAAGUCGAGCGAACAGAUGAGGAGCUUGCUCCUUUGACGUUAGCGGCGCACGGGUGAGAAACACGUGGAUACCCUACCUUUAAGACUGAUAUAAUUUCGGGAAACCGGAUCUAAUACCGGAUGAUAUAUUGAAGCGCAUGGUUCAAUAGUGAAAGACGGUUUUGGUGUCACUUAUAGAUGGUUCCGCGCCGCAUUAGUUAGUUGGUAAGGUAACGGCUUACCAAGGCAACGAUGCGUAGCCGACGUGAGAGGGUGAUCGGCCACACGGGAACUGAGACACGGUCCAGACUCCUACGAGAGGCAGCAGUAGGGAAUCUUCCGCAAUGGGCGAGAGCAUGACGGAGCAACGCCGCGUGAGUGAUGAAAGUCUUCGGUUCGUAAAGCUCUGUUAUUAGGGAAGAACAAAUGUGUACGUAACUAUGCACGUCUUGACGGUACCUAAUCAGAAAGCAACGGCUAACUACGUG